GAUGAACGCUGGCGGCGUGCCUAAUACAUGCCAGUCGAGCGAACGGACGAGAAGCUUGCUUCUCUGAUGUUAGCGGCGGACGGGUGAGUAACACGUGGAUAACCUACCUAUAAGACUGGGAUAACUUCGGGAAGCCGUAGCUAAUACCGGAUAAUAUUUUGAACCGCAUGGUUCAAAAGUGAAAGACGGUCUUGCUGUCACUUAUAGAUGGAUCCGCGCUGCAUUAGCUAGUUGGUAAGGUAACGGCUUACCAAGGCAACGAUGCAUAGCCGACCUGAGAGGGUGAUCGGCCACACUGGAACUGAGACACGGUCCAGACUCCUACGGGAGGCAGCAGUAGGGAAUCUUCCGCAAUGGGCGAAAGCCUGACGGAGCAACGCCGCGUGAGUGAUGAAGGUCUUCGGAUCGUAAAACUCUGUUAUUAGGGAAGAACAUAUGUGUAAGUAACUGUGCACAUCUUGACGGUACCUAAUCAGAAAGCCACGGCUAACUACGUG
rnacentral:rRNA from 1 species